rnacentral:lncRNA from 1 species
CUUUUUUUUUUUUUUUCUUAAAUGAAAAGUAUAAGGGAUUUUAACCUCAUAAAGAAUAAGGAAAAUCAAUUAUGGUGAAGAAACAUUUCAUUUCUUACCGUUUAAAUAUUUCCUUCCUAAAUUGAUGGUUGAUGUAAUGUAGGCUGUAAAAAGAGAGGAGGCAGUUCCUGAAAUACCUUGGGCUCUAAAACCCAUUUUGUGAAAUAGCAAUGUAAUUUGAAUAUUUUAGGAACUGACCUCAAUGCUUAGAGCUUCCUUUGUAUGUUCUUAAACGAUGCCUUAACAUCGCAUUUACUUAUAUGUUAACAUGAAAGUUAUAAGUUGUCUUAUUGUAACGUUGACUUGUCCCUUCAGAGAAUCAGCCUUCCAUUAUGCUCAAGUAUUCAUCAACCUUCAGGGCUGGGAUGGUAUAAAAUAAUGGCAUGAGAUAUACCUAAUGCUAGAUGACGAGUUAGUGGGUGCAGCGCACCAGCAUGGCACAUGUAUACAUAUGUAACUAACCUGCACAAUGUGCACAUGUACCCUAAAACUUAAAGUAUAAUUAAAAAAAAAAAAGAAAAAGAAAAUCUAAAAAAAAAAAAAUAAUAAUAAUAAUGGCAUGACCGGGCCAGGCAUAUAAGGAUUUCCCUCCUCUCCUCAUUUUUAUUUUUAUUAUUUUGGGUACACAGUAGGUAUAUAUAUAUAUGAGGUACAUGAGAUGUUUUGAUACAGACAUGCAAUAUGAAAUAAUCACAUCAUAGAUUUCUCUUCUCUGGAAGAACUUACAACCUGUUGAGGUUUGCUAGCAAACCAAACUCUAACAAAGAACACUGUUUAUUUUUUCUUUUCUUUUCUUGAGAUAGAUAUUUUUUAUUUUAAGUUCUGGGAUACAUGUGCAGAACGUGCAGGUUUGCUAUUUGCUGCACCUAUCAACCCAUCAUCUAGGUUUUAAGCCCUGUUUUGAUUUGAAUAUUAUUCAAUACAAAUGAAGAUUGAAAUGUGGACAUUUAUGCUAAGAACAGCUUCUGGAAUUAUAGAUUUGCCUUGUAUUCUUACCAAUUGUAAGACGGAUAAACAAGCAGAAAUUCAAAAUGACAUAAUUAUAUUUCUUUGCAUCUGGAUUUUAUUCUGUUCCUGGUUCAAGUUUCAAGAUUGUCAAGAAUGACGAGUUGGACUUGGUCUAGUUACUUCCACAGCAGCAGGAGGAACAUGUGUGUGACUCAGGAUAACUGGGGAAGCCUUGGCUAGGCUUUCCUCAUGUCAACCUACCACUCAAAGGGAGAAAACCUCCUGAUCAGAGGUGCCCAGAACCCAGGUUUGGUGGGGUUGGUUGAGGGGUGAGUCUGGAGAAACUAGAAAUCUAAGGGGGUGUGUGUGUGAACAUGUUUUUUGUUUUUGUUUUUUUUUGACAGGAAAUCCAUAAUUUUUGAAUGCUGGCCGAGGUCUGUGACCUCUGACUGAAUGGUUUCCAAGCUCCGAAUUCCUAGGUGAUGUUUUCAUUUGUUCACACUUGCUGAAGAAGGGAAAGGCUCUCUGAUUUACGUGUAAGCAAAACAAUCUAAACAGUAGGAUAAAAUCAUGUUGGAAUGGAGUUCUGUGUGGAUGCUCCUUUGAACCAAAUCAGUUCCACAACUGACCCUGUCAGGGACAUAUAAAUUUAGCAUUUUGGUGUGGAUACAGAAGACGAGAUUAACACAGAUCAAGUAACAUGGAAAUAAAAAAGGAGACAAUGCUGGAUGAUACAGGGGCAGCCAACAAGAGGAGAAAACCCAAGCAUUGGCAAAUGCCUCAUUAUCCAAAGAACACUGAGGUGUGGAGCAAAACUGUGUUGAAUGAACUGUAGAUGGAAAUUCUCUCCUUCCCACCGAGGAGCCGCUGCAGGUUGCAGACUCCCAGAAUGCCACACUGAGAAGAGGAGGGCUAAAAUUCUAGAGCAGAAUCCCUGGGGCAGCCCCUGCUGAAGAAGGGUGCAUCUGUUGAGAAUCUCAUCACCGCCCCCACCCCGCCCAGCCUUCAAUUUAGAGGAAUUUCUAGUUCACGCAGAAUGAAGACAAGAUCACAUAAGUGAGGACGACGCCCCAUUUACAAGUGUGAUUUGGAAGACUGAAGUGGAAACCUUGGGAAGGGGCCUCAGAGUAUGUCAGCUGGGGUCAGACGGGAACAGGAGUCUGGCUCAACACACAUUUAUUGCACUCCUGUUUCAUGCCAAGAAAUGUACCAAAAUCUGGGACUGUGUAACACAGCAAAGGAAAAGACUCAUCUCCAGGAAGCCCCCUUGUCUAGGAAGAGAAAUUGAAUAUCAGCAUAAGGUGGUGAAAAGCUGUGAAGGAGAUGAGUGCCAGGAGUCCAUGGAGGAAGGAUUCUAGCCUGGACAGGUGAGGAAUGGCUUUCUGGAAGAAGCAGAUGCCCCAGCUGAACUUUAAAAUGCCCAUGUGAAAUGAACUGUCUGUAUCUUCAAUCAGCAAAUGGAGUAGGUGGCCACUGUUUAAUUCUGGAAUGGGGAAGUGUAAAGGUGUGGUGUGUGUGUUUACCCCUACUUAGGGAUUCAAAACAGACAGUAAAGAACAAAAGUCUAGCCCUUUGAGCAUUCUCCAUGGGACAUUUGAGGUCUAGCUGGCCCCAGAGAAAGAGAGACAGAAGCAAGGUCAUAUCCAUUUGAGAAAAUCAAAGUGUCUGCUCCAAUUGAGUCUGGUGUCCUUAUUCCUGGAAUAGCCAUCCCUACUGCUCUGGUGCUGAUUUACCUCCGGCAGUUCAGUGCUUCCUGGAAGGUGAUUGUGGUGAAUAGUCAUGAGAAUCUGGGAACUGGCUCCUGCUCUGUCUAUCUUGGAGAUGCAUCUUUUGUGAGAAGCCAGGGCAAGAAUAGGGAGGCUUAGGCAAUGGGAAGUUUCUGAGUAGAUAAAGCAGAUGGCAGAGCAAAGGGACAGAGCCUGGCGAGAGGCUACUCCCUGUAGCAACCUGCCUAAGAGUGAGAGGAAAGCAAGGCAUGGCUAUGAGCACGUGUAGUCUCAGCUACUUGGGAAGCUGAGGCUGGGGGAUCACUUGAGCCCAGGAGUUCAAGACCAGCCUAGGCAACAUAGUGAGACCAUGUCUCUUUAAAAAAAAAAAAAAAAAGAAAAA